rnacentral:snRNA from 1 species
AGCUUUGCGCAGUGGCAGUAUUGUAGCCAAUGAGGUUUAUCCGAGGCGCGAUUAUUGCUCAUUGAAAACUUUUCCCAAAUUACACAAUUUCAUUCUUCUUUAUGGCAGAAUAAAACUCCACUGAGU